rnacentral:misc_RNA from 1 species
AAAAAAAAAAAAAAAAAAGCAAGCCAAAGUGAAACUAUCAAAAGCUAGCAGAAACCAUUAACUAAAUAAUCAAAGGCAAAAACCAAAAGCUGAUCAACUAGAAGAUGAUCAGACCACAGAUAACCAAAAUUAAACAAAUUUAAAUGAUCAAACCAGAAAACCAAAGCCAAAAGCUGAUCAACUAGAAGAUGAUCAGACCACAGAUAACCAAAAUUAAACAAAUUUAAAUGAUCAAACCAGAAAACCAAAG